ACACUACCUUUGAGCCCCGCUGCGCCUGCACCUUGUGUGGGGUCAGGCUGCCGCACCAGAUCACGUGCUUGUGGGUAACUGGGCGGACUGCUCCCGCCAGUCGCCCUUUUAGGUGCGAGCGACACAG